UACGUAGGGGGCAAGCGUUGUCCGGAUUUAUUGGGCGUAAAGAGCGUGUAGGCGGUUUGGUAGGUCCGUUGUGAAAACUCGAGGCUCAACCUCGAGACGCCGAUGGAAACCAUCAGACUAGAGUCCGGAAGAGGAGAGUGGAAUUCCUGGUGUAGCGGUGAAAUGCGUAGAUAUCUGGAAGAACACCAAAGGCGAAGGCAGUGUCCUGGGUGGUCGCUGACGCUGAGAGGCGAAAGCCAGGGGAGCGAACGGG
rnacentral:rRNA from 1 species